AUGAACGCUGGCGGCGUGCCUCAUACAUGCCAGUCGAGCGAACAGAUGAGGAGCUUGCUCCUCUGACGUUAGCGGCGGACGGGUGAGUAACACGUGGAUAACCUACCUAUAAGACUGGGAUAACUUCGGGAAACCGGAGCUAAUACCGGAUAAUAUAUUGAACCGCAUGGUUCAAUAGUGAAAGACGGUUUUGCUGUCACUUAUAGAUGGAUCCGCGCCGCAUUAGCUAGUUGGUAAGGUAACGGCUUACCAAGGCAACGAUGCGUAGCCGACCUGAGAGGGUGAUCGGCCACACUGGAACUGAGACACGGUCCAGACUCCUACGGGAGGCAGCAGUAGGGAAUCUUCCGCAAUGGGCGAAAGCCUGACGGAGCAACGCCGCGUGAGUGAUGAAGGUCUUCGGAUCGUAAAACUCUGUUAUUAGGGAAGAACAAAUGUGUAAGUAACUAUGCACGUCUUGACGGUACCUAAUCAGAAAGCCACGGCUAACUACGUGC
rnacentral:rRNA from 1 species